CCUACGGGAGGCAGCAGUGGGGAAUUUUGGACAAUGGGCGAAAGCCUGAUCCAGCCAUUCCGCGUGCAGGAUGAAGGCCCUCGGGUUGUAAACUGCUUUUGUACAGAACGAAAGGGUUUCUAUUAAUACUAGGAGCUCAUGACGGUACUGUAAGAAUAAGCACCGGCUAACUACGUGCCAGCAGCCGCGGUAAUACGUAGGGUGCAAGCGUUAAUCGGAAUUACUGGGCGUAAAGCGUGCGCAGGCGGUUAUAUAAGUCAGAUGUGAAAUCCCGGGCUCAACCUGGGAACUGCAUUUGAGACUGUAUAGCUAGAGUACGGUAGAGGGGGAUGGAAUUCCGCGUGUAGCAGUGAAAUGCGUAGAUAUGCGGAGGAACACCGAUGGCGAAGGCAAUCCCCUGGACCUGUACUGACGCUCAUGCACGAAAGCGUGGGGAGCAAACAGGAUUAGAUACCCUGGUAGUCCACGCCCUAAACGAUGUCAACUGGUUGUUGGGUCUUAACUGACUCAGUAACGAAGCUAACGCGUGAAGUUGACCGCCUGGGGAGUGCGGCCGCAAGGUUGAAACGUCAAAGGAAUUGACGGCUGAGAGNGCGACGACGACGACGAGGGAGGAGG
rnacentral:rRNA from 1 species